UGAUCCUGGCUCAGAACGAACGCUGGCGGCAGGCCUAACACAUGCAAGUCGAACGAACCCUUCGGGGUGAGUGGCGCACGGGUGCGUAACACGUGGGAAUAUACACAUCGGUAAGGAACAACACAGAGAAAUUUGUGCUAAUACCUUAUAAUGACUCCGGUCCAAAGAUUUAUCGCCGAUGGAUUAGCCCGCGCUAGAUUAGUUUGUUGGUGAGGUAAAAGCUCACCAAGACUACGAUCUAUAGGGGGUCUUAGAGGAUGAUCCCCCACACUGGAACUGAGACACGGUCCAGACUCCUACGGGAGGCAGCAGUGAGGAAUAUUGCGCAAUGGAGGAAACUCUGACGCAGCCAUGCCGCGUGAAUGAAGAAGGCCCUAGGGUUGUAAAAUUCUUUCAGAUGCGAAGAUAAUGACGGUAACAUCAGAAGAAGCUCCGGCUAAAUUCGUGCCAGCAGCCGCGGUAAUACGAAUGGAGCGAGCGUUGUUCGGAAUCAUUGGGCGCAAAGCGUAUGUAGGCGGAACAGAAAGUCAGAAGUGAAAUCCCGAGGCUCAACCUCGGAACUGCUUUUGAAACUCCUGUUCUAGUAUCCCGGAGGGGUUGACGGAAUUCCGAGUGUAGAGGUGAAAUUCGCAGAUAUUCGGAGGAACACCAGUGGCGUAGGCGGUCAACUGGACGGGUAUAGACGCUGAGAUACGAAAGCGUGGGUAGCAAACAGGAUUAGAUACCCUGGUAGU
rnacentral:rRNA from 1 species